UGGGGAAUUUUGGACAAUGGGCGAAAGCCUGAUCCAGCAAUGCCGCGUGUGUGAAGAAGGCCUUCGGGUUGUAAAGCACUUUUGUCCGGAAAGAAAUCCUCUGGGUUAAUACCUCGGGGGGAUGACGGUACCGGAAGAAUAAGCACCGGCUAACUACGUGCCAGCAGCCGCGGUAAUACGUAGGGUGCAAGCGUUAAUCGGAAUUACUGGGCGUAAAGCGUGCGCAGGCGGUUUUGUAAGACGGAUGUGAAAUCCCCGGGCUUAACCUGGGAACUGCAUUCGUGACUGCAAGGCUAGAGUAUGGCAGAGGGGGGUUAGAAUUCCACGUGUAGCAGUGAAAUGCGUAGAGAUGUGGAGGAAUACCGAUGGCGAAGGCAGCCCCCUGGGCCAAUACUGACGCUCAUGCACGAAAGCGUGGGGAGCAAACAGGAUUAGAUACCCUGGUAGUCCACGCCCUAAACGAUGUCAACUAGUUGUUGGGGAUUCAUUUCCUUAGUAACGUAGCUAACGCGUGAAGUUGACCGCCUGGGGAGUACGGUCGCAAGAUUAAAACUCAAAGGAAUUGACGGGGUCAUAGCUGUUUCCU
rnacentral:rRNA from 1 species